GAUGAACGCUGGCGGCGUGCCUAAUACAUGCAAGUCGAGCGAACAGACGAGGAGCUUGCUCCUCUGACGUUAGCGGCGGACGUGUGAGUAACACGUGGAUAACCUACCUAUAAGACUGGGAUAACUUCGGGAAACCGGAGCUAAUACCGGAUAAUAUAUUGAACCGCAGGGUGCAAUAGUGAAAGACGGUGUUGCUGUCACUUAUAGAUGGAUCCGCGCCGCAUUAGCUAGUUGGUAAGGUAACGGCUUACCAAGGCAACGAUGCGUAGCCGACCUGAGAGGGUGAUCGGCCACACUGGAGCUGAGACACGGUCCAGACUCCUACGGGAGGCAGCAGUAGGGAAUCUUCCGCAAUGGGCGAGAGCUUGACGGAGCAACGCCGCGUGAGUGAUGAAGGUCUUCGGAUCGUAAAACUCUGUUAUUAGGGAAGAACAAAUGUGUAAGUAACUAUGCACGUCUUGACGGUACCUAAUCAGAAAGCCACGGCUAACUACGUG
rnacentral:rRNA from 1 species